rnacentral:rRNA from 1 species
UACGGGGGAUGCAAGCGUUAUCCGGAUUUAUUGGGUUUAAAGGGUGCGUAGGCUGUGAGGUAAGUCAGCGGUGAAAUGCCCCCGCUCAACGGGGUGAAGUGCCAUUGAUACUGCCUUGCUGGAAUGCGGAUGCCGUGGGAGGAAUGUGUGGUGUAGCGGUGAAAUGCAUAGAUAUCACACAGAACACCGAUUGCGAAGGCAUCUCACGAAUCCGCUAUUGACGCUGAGGCACGAAAGCGUGGGGAGCAAAUAGG